rnacentral:rRNA from 1 species
UACGGCCGCAAGGUUAAAACUCAAAUGAAUUGACGGGGGCCCGCACAAGCGGUGGAGCAUGUGGUUUAAUUCGAUGCAACGCGAAGAACCUUACCUGGUCUUGACAUCCACGGAAGUUUUCAGAGAUGAGAAUGUGCCUUCGGGAACCGUGAGACAGGUGCUGCAUGGCUGUCGUCAGCUCGUGUUGUGAAAUGUUGGGUUAAGUCCCGCAACGAGCGCAACCCUUAUCCUUUGUUGCCAGCGGUCCGGCCGGGAACUCAAAGGAGACUGCCAGUGAUAAACUGGAGGAAGGUGGGGAUGACGUCA